AACCAGCACCUCAAGUGGUCAGGAGGAUUAUUGGGCCUAAAGCAUCCGUAGCCGGCUCUGUAAGUUUUCGGUUAAAUCUAUGUGCUUAACAUAUGGGCUGCCGAGAAUACUGCAAAGCUAGGGAGUGGGAGAGGUAGACGGUACUCCGUAGGAAGGGGUAAAAUCCUUUGAUCUAUGGAUGACCACCUGUGGCGAAGGCGGUCUACCAGAACACGUCCGACGGUGAGGGAUGAAAGCUGGGGGAGCAAACCGG
rnacentral:rRNA from 1 species